UACGUAGGGCACAAGCGUUGUCCGGAAUUAUUGGGCGUAAAGAGCUCGUAGGCGGUUUGUCGCGUCGGAUGUGAAAGCCCGGGGCUUAACCCCGGGUCUGCAUUCGAUACGGGCAGACUGGAGUGUGGUAGGGGAGAUCGGAAUUCCUGGUGUAGCGGUGAAAUGCGCAGAUAUCAGGAGGAACACCGGUGGCGAAGGCGGGUCUCUGGGCCGUAACUGACGCUGAGGAGCGAAAGCGUGGGGAGCGAACAGG
rnacentral:rRNA from 1 species